UUAAAGCCAAAGACAAAGAAUAGUAGGCAGUUACCUUUUUCAGAGAACCCAAGAAUGCUGCGAUUGGGUAGAGGGUCUGCCAAAAGACACUUUCGAGGUGGACCUGGGAUCAGGUUCCGUUGUAAAACGUUAUCUAGAUAAGUAAUCAAUUAAGGUGGUACCGCGCCUAGCGCCCUUGUA
rnacentral:ncRNA from 1 species